rnacentral:snRNA from 1 species
AGCUAACACAGAACUUUUAGAAUCUUGUCUCUCUGAAUUUGGUCAGAAAACCCAU